rnacentral:rRNA from 1 species
GACGAACGCUGGCGGCGUGCCUAAUACAUGCAAGUAGAACGCACAGUUUAUACCGUAGCUUGCUACACCAUAGACUGUGAGUUGCGAACGGGUGAGUAACGCGUAGGUAACCUGCCUGGUAGCGGGGGAUAACUAUUGGAAACGAUAGCUAAUACCGCAUAAUAUUAAUUAUUGCAUGAUAAUUAAUUGAAAGGUGCAAUUGCACCACUACCAGAUGGACCUGCGUUGUAUUAGCUAGUAGGUGAGGUAACGGCUCACCUAGGCGACGAUACAUAGCCGACCUGAGAGGGUGAUCGGCCACACUGGGACUGAGACACGGCCCAGACUCCUACGGGAGGCAGCAGUAGGGAAUCUUCGGCAAUGGACGAAAGUCUGACCGAGCAACGCCGCGUGAGUGAAGAAGGUUCUCGGAUCGUAAAGCUCUGUUGUAAGAGAAGAACGGGUGUGAGAGUGGAAAGUUCACACUGUGACGGUAUCUUACCAGAAAGGGACGGCUAACUACGUG